rnacentral:rRNA from 1 species
CCUACGGGGGGCUGCAGUAAGGAAUAUUGGACAAUGGCCGCAAGGCUGAUCCAGCCAUGCCGCGUGCAGGAUGAAGGUGCUCUGCAUCGUAAACUGCUUUUAUCUGGGAAUAAACCCCUCUACGUGUAGAGGGCUGAAUGUACCAGAAGAAUAAGGAUCGGCUAACUUCGUGCCAGCAGCCGCGGUAAUACGAAGGAUCCAAGCGUUAUCCGGAUUUAUUGGGUUUAAAGGGUGCGUAGGCGGCUUAUUAAGUCAGUGGUGAAAGCCUGAAGCUCAACUUCAGAAUUGCCAUUGAUACUGAUGAGCUUGAGUAUAGUUGAGGUGGGCGGAAUGUGUCAUGUAGCGGUGAAAUGCUUAGAUAUGACACAGAACACCGAUUGCGAAGGCAGCUCACUAAGCUAUAACUGACGCUGAUGCACGAAAGCGUGGGGAGCAAACAGGAUUAGAUACCCCUGUAGUC